rnacentral:rRNA from 1 species
UACAGAGGGUGCGAGCGUUAAUCGGAAUUACUGGGCGUAAAGCGUGCGUAGACGGUUAUUUAAGUCGAGUGUGAAAGCCCCGGGCUCAACCUGGGAAUUGCAUUCGAGACUGAAUAGCUAGGGUACGGUAGAGGGAAGCGGAAUUUCCGGUGUAGCGGUGAAAUGCGUAGAUAUCGGAAGGAACAUCAGUGGCGAAAGCGGCUUCCUGGACCAGUACCGACGUUCAGGCACGAAAGCGUGGGGAGCAAACAGG